ACAGUUCAGUUCGCUAAUCUCAAAGUUCAUCUUUCGUCUCCUCUGUUUUCGCUUCUCAAUAAACAAACAAAAAAACUCAUUCUCAAGAAAAAAAGGAAAAAAAAAAAGGAAGUAGAAAAAAUCUUGUUCCGCACUCUUUGCUUGUCUUGUACCAAUGUACGUUAGCUUGAGAACUGAUCAGAGAUGACAAUGGCAAAGUGUCACCGGAACAACAUCGGUUCCCUCAUUCACGACCCUCCUCCCACCACUUCCUCCGGCUACCACUUCCGCCUCUGGAGCACCUUCUCAAGAUCCGCAUUCAGAAGAAAGAUCUUAAACGCCGUUAGCUGCGGCGGCAGCUCGCGUUACCGUCACGAGCUCCGAGAAGAGGAGAAAGAAGAAAGAAGCUACGUCACGGUGACGACGGAGAAGAAGUCAACGGUCAAAGCCAAUACCAUCGCCGCGGCGUUGAAUGGCGCAGCGUUCGAGGAGAAAGGGAAGAAGUCGGAGAAGCUCUGCGAUCUGCUGAAUCUUGCGGAGGUGGAAGCUGACGUGGAGACAAAGAUGAAGGAGGAAGCUCUCGACGCGCUGAAGCGCGUGGUCGGAGAGCUGCAGGCUGCCGCGGCGCGUGGAGAUGAUGAAGGCGGAGAAUGUCGGAAGAAAAUAGCGGCGGCGAGCGAGGUGCGGUUGCUGGCGAAGGAGGAUCCGGAGGCGAGAGUGACGCUAGCGAUGCUCGGCGCGAUUCCGCCGCUGGUUAGCAUGAUCGACGACGAGUCGCGAGACGCAGACGCUCGGAUCGCUUCACUGUACGCUCUGCUCAAUCUAGGCAUCGGUAACGACGCGAACAAAGCAGCUAUUGUAAAAGCAGGUGCGGUUCACAAAAUGCUGAAGCUAAUCGAGUCUCCAAACACACCUGAUCAGUCUAUCGCAGAAGCUGUGGUCGCUAACUUCCUCGGAUUAAGCGCAUUAGACUCAAACAAACCAAUCAUCGGUUCUUCAGGAGCAAUCAUCUUCCUAGUCAAAACUCUUCAGAAUCUAGACGAAACAAGCAGCUCACAAGCUAGAGAAGACGCGUUAAGAGCUCUCUACAACCUCUCAAUCUACCAACCAAACGUUUCAUUCAUCCUCGAAACGGAUUUAAUCACGUAUCUCUUAAACACACUGGGAGAUAUGGAAGUGAGCGAGAGGAUCCUCGCUAUCUUGAGCAAUAUAGUGGCAGUCCCAGAAGGAAGGAAAGCGAUCAGUUCAGUGUGCGACGCGUUUCCGGUUUUGGUUGAUGUACUGAACUGGACCGACUCUCCCGGAUGCCAAGAGAAGGCCACUUACAUACUAAUGUUGAUGGCUCACAAAGGGUAUGGAGAUAGACAAGCAAUGAUCGAGGCGGGAAUCGAAUCGUCGUUGCUAGAGUUGACCCUUUUGGGAAGUGCAUUGUCUCAAAAGAGAGCCUCGAGGAUAUUAGAAUGUCUUAGGGUAGACAAAGGGAAGCAAGUGUUGGAUAGUACCGGAUCAUGCGGAGCCUUAUCCGCACCUAUCUACGGGACCAGAAGCAACGGUUUGGACCAUGAGGAAAGCGACUUGAUGAUGAGCGAAGAGAGGAAAGCAGUGAAGCAGUUAGUGCAACAGAGUUUACAAAGCAACAUGAAGAGAAUAGCAAAGAGAGCUAAUUUGCCACAAGAGUUUGUUCCUUCGGAGCAUUUUAAAUCACUCUCUAUAAGCUCCACUUCAAAGAGCCUUCCCUUUUGAGAAUAGAGCUAAUUUGCCACAAGAGUUUGUUCCUUCGGAGCAUUUUAAAUCACUCUCUAUAAGCUCCACUUCAAAGAGCCUUCCCUUUUGAGAAUUGGCAUCAAUUAUAAAUUCAUGGAAAGUUAGAGGGCAAUGACGUAGUCACUCACAUGCACUUCACCAGUUUAUCAGACAUCAUCGAGACCCCACCCACAUAUCUUGAAUCUUGAAAAAUUACCAAAGUGCCAACCUAAAGUGUCGGUCAUUUUCUUUUUCUAAAGUGUCAUUCUGAAGCAGUUCCACGAAAACAGAAGGAGAGCGUUGCUUCGACAGAUCUAUUCAGCUUCUGAAAACAGCCAAGCAGACACAAUCUAAUUAGCAUAUAGUGUACGGUGUACCCUACGUACGACGUGUCGUUGAAUUUUCCAUGUGGAGUUACUUUUUUGUUUGAGUGAGUGGUUUUGUUAAAAGUAAAAAUACCCACUACGUCUACUAGCCUUAGUGGUAUGUUAUUAUAAAGUUAUGGGCUUUGUUAGCUUUUACAUCUACCAAUUAUAUCAGCUUUUCUAGUCUUAUAAUAUGGUCUGUAUAUAUGUUUUUCUGGAUCGUGAGUAUUUACAUACUUAAAAAGUAAAACAUUCGAGUAUGUUUAUACA